UACGGAGGAUCCAAGCGUUAUCCGGAUUUAUUGGGUUUAAAGGGUGCGUAGGCGGCUUAUUAAGUCAGGGGUGAAAGACGGUGGCUCAACCAUCGCAGUGCCCUUGAUACUGAUGAGCUUGAAUGAACUAGAGGUAGGCGGAAUGUGACAAGUAGCGGUGAAAUGCAUAGAUAUCGUCAAGAACACCUAUAGCGAAGGCAGCUUACUGGGCUGUAACUGACGCUGAGGCACGAAAGUGUGGGGAUCAAACAGG
rnacentral:rRNA from 1 species